UACGGAGGAUGCAAGCGUUAUCCGGAAUGAUUGGGCGUAAAGCGUCCGCAGGUGGCUGUGUAAGUCUGCUGUUAAAGAGUCUAGCUCAACUAGAUAAAGGCAGUGGAAACUGCACGGCUAGAGUGCGUUCGGGGCAGAGGGAAUUCCUGGUGUAGCGGUGAAAUGCGUAGAGAUCAGGAAGAACACCGGUGGCGAAGGCGCUCUGCUAGGCCGCAACUGACACUGAGGGACGAAAGCUAGGGGAGCGAAUGGG
rnacentral:rRNA from 1 species